ACCUGGUUGGCUCAGUUGGUAGGGCAUGAGACUGUUAAUCUCAACAUUGUGAGUUCAAGUCUCACGUGGGGCA